rnacentral:rRNA from 1 species
UCGAGAAUUUUUCACAAUGGGGGCAACCCUGAUGGAGCGACGCCGCGUGGAGGAUGAAGGCCCUUGGGUUGUAAACUCCUGUCAUAAGAGAACAAGAAAGUGAUAGUAUCUUAAGAGGAAGAGACGGCUAACUCUGUGCCAGCAGCCGCGGUAAUACAGAGGUCUCAAGCGUUGUUCGGAUUCAUUGGGCGUAAAGGGUGCGCAGGCUGUGUGGUAAGUCAGGUGUGAAAUUUAGAGGCUUAACCUCUAAACUGCACUUGAUACUGCCAUGCUAGAGGACUGUAGAGGAGAUUGGAAUUCACGGUGUAGCAGUGAAAUGCGUAGAUAUCGUGAGGAAGACCAGUGGCGAAGGCGAAUCUCUGGGCAGUUCCUGACGCUCAUGCACGAAGGCUAGGGGAGCAAACGGG